UGGUGUAUUGACUGUUCAUAAUGAGGUUGUUAUAGUUUGACUGCACUAUAACUCGAUCUUCUAGCCAUACGAAAUCUUGAAGUGUAUGUUGGCUGCAGUAUGUUCAUUGUAGGAAUAGGGUGUCACCAAGAUGAGAUCUAUCAACCUUAGAAGGAAAUGAGUAGUCUUAUGUGAUUUAUGAAAUUGAGUUCAGAAGUUCUUGGCUAGGACAGUAUGAAUGAUGGCAAAGAGUUUUUAUCAGAUUUCAUAAA
rnacentral:lncRNA from 1 species